rnacentral:misc_RNA from 1 species
CAACUCUCAAGCUCCGCUUGGUUUUGGGAGGCGUCCCCGCCCGGGGGCUCGCCCGCAACUCGUUGGCAGGACCGUCCGGCUUCAAGCGUAGCAAGAAUCUUCCCUCGCUUCGUAGCUCCGGCGGCCCUCGCCCGGGAACAGAAUCCACACGCA